rnacentral:piRNA from 2 species
UAAGAAAAGAGCCUGCAGCCUUGGGA